UUCAAUUUUUAUGUGUGUUUGAUCUAAAUUUUGUAAUUAUUUGGAGGAUGUUUAAAUAGCUCAAGAUGUAAUAGAUAGGUGAUAUUUUUGCAAAAAGUUAUAAUUAGAUAGGCCAAUGUAAUAGAUAGGAUAGAUAGAUUUAUUUUAUUAUUUUAGAUUAUAGUUAGGUUCCUCAUUGUAAAAGAUAGGAUAGAUAUGUUCAUUUUGUUAUAUUUUCCCAUUUUAGAUUGUCGUUAGAUUCCCCAUUGUAAUAGAUAGGUUGUGUGUGUUUAUGUGUCCUACAUUCUUAUGUGUUAUAACCGCUUUUCUUAGAAUUUUACAUCUAGAUAUUAUAUUUAUA
rnacentral:lncRNA from 1 species